GACGAACGCUGGCGGCGCGCUUAACACAUGCAAGUCGAACGGAAAGGCCUGCUUUCCCUUGUGGAUUGCGGGUACUCGAGUGGCGAACGGGUGAGUAACACGUGAGUGAUCUGCCCCCAACUUGGGUAUAAGCCUGGGAAACUGGGUCUAAUUCCCGAUAGGACUGCAGGGUGGUGCCUGUGGUGGAAAACGAUUUUCUAGUGGUUGGGGAUGAGCUCGCGGCCUAUCAGCUUGUUGGUGGGGUAAUGGCCUACCAAGGCGGCGACGGGUAGCCGGCCUGAGAGGGUGGACGGCCACAUUGGGACUGAGAUACGGCCCAGACUCCUACGGGAGGCAGCAGUGGGGAAUAUUGCACAAUGGGCGGAAGCCUGAUGCAGCGACGCCGCGUGGGGGAUGACGGCCUUCGGGUUGUAAACUCCUUUCGACCGCGAGGAAGCCACCUGGUUGGAAGGGUGGUGACGGUAGUGGUAGAAGAAGCACCGGCUAACUAC
rnacentral:rRNA from 1 species